rnacentral:rRNA from 1 species
AGUGAACGCUGGCGGUAGGCCUAACACAUGCAAGUCGAACGGCAGCACAGUAAGAGCUUGCUCUUACGGGUGGCGAGUGGCGGACGGGUGAGGAAUACAUCGGAAUCUACUUUUUCGUGGGGGAUAACGUAGGGAAACUUACGCUAAUACCGCAUACGUCCUACGGGUGAAAGCAGGGGAGCUUCGGACCUUGCGCGAUUGAAUGAGCCGAUGUCGGAUUAGCUAGUUGGCGGGGUAAAGGCCCACCAAGGCGACGAUCCGUAGCUGGUCUGAGAGGAUGAUCAGCCACACUGGAACUGAGACACGGUCCAGACUCCUACGGGAGGCAGCAGUGGGGAAUAUUGGACAAUGGGCGCAAGCCUGAUCCAGCCAUACCGCGUGGGUGAAGAAGGCCUUCGGGUUGUAAAGCCCUUUUGUUGGGAAAGAAAAGCAGCAGGUUAAUACCCCGCUGUUCUGACGGUACCCAAAGAAUAAGCACCGGCUAACUUCGUG